rnacentral:ncRNA from 1 species
GGCAACUAGCCUCCGAGAGGGGGUGUCCCACAUGCAUGAAAUCUUCGUUGUGCUCAUUGCACCGAUCCUCGUCGGUGUCGCGACUUCGCUUGUCGAUCAUUGGCUGGAUGAUGACAAAUGAGCAUGAGCUAGCUGCCAUCUAACCCACGCGUCGGUUUGCAUCCAAGCCCUCGAAAAA